rnacentral:rRNA from 1 species
UACAGAGGUGGCAAGCGUUGUUCGGAAUUACUGGGCGUAAAGGGCGCGUAGGCGGCCUUCUAAGUCGGACGUGAAAGCCCCAGGCUUAACCUGGGAACUGCGUCCGAUACUGGAAGGCUUGAAUCCGGGAGAGGGAUGCGGAAUUCCCGGUGUAGCGGUGAAAUGCGCAGAUAUCGGGAAGAACACCCGUGGCGAAGGCGGCUCUCUGGGACGGUACUGACGCUGAGACGCGAAAGCGUGGGGAGCGAACAGG